UACGAAGGGGGCUAGCGUUGUUCGGAAUUACUGGGCGUAAAGCGUGCGCAGGCGGCUUCUCAAGUCAGGGGUGAAAGCCCAGAGCUCAACUCUGGAAUUGCCUUUGAGACUGAGUGGCUUGAGUACGAGAGAGGUGAGUGGAAUUCCCAGUGUAGAGGUGAAAUUCGUAGAUAUUGGGAAGAACACCGGUGCGAAGGCGGCUCACUGGCUCGUAACUGACGCUCAUGCACGACAGCGUGGGGAUCAAACAGG
rnacentral:rRNA from 1 species